ensembl:lncRNA
AUGCAUCUUUCACAGGGUGAGGUCACACAAAUCUGGGGCAAGACAAGGAGGUCAGAGGCAGUUGAACCAAAAGCGUGUGAAGGUGAUCUGCUGAUACUCGCUGUUUGUGUUUGUCUGUGUGUGUCUGGGGGGCUGAAGCAAAGGAAGGGGAUGAAAGAGGCAAAGCCAGGCCAAGGGUGGGAAGGGGAGCUGCGUGUAAACAUCCUGCGGGCAACGGGACUCGUCCUGGGAAAUAUUUGUCUUAACUGGUAACGCAAAGAGGCAGCCAAAGCCUUCAUCUGGCCCUCAGCUAUUUUCUCAGAAAAUCUGGAGGGACGAAGGGCGGAGAGGAGACGGACAGAAAGAGAGUACAGUGAUGAGUAAAGGGCAGAGACGUCAUUUACAGUGGGAACAUGGAGGAUUUUGUCUCCACCACUUUGUCACCACAACAUUUGGGGGGAAAAGUGUUUUGUCUUGUGGCAUUGGCAUAUUUUUGUUUCAAACAUAAACCGGUUCAAAAUGAACUUAAUCAUUAAAAAAUUUGGAGGUUUUUUUUUAUGUUUUUGAAAGAAGUCUCUUGUGCUCACCAAGGCUGCAUUACUUUUAUCAAAAAUACAGAAAAAAACAGUAAUAUUAUGAAAUAUCAUUAUGGAUUCAAAUAACUGUUCUCUAUUUGAUUAUAUAUUGUAAAAUGUUAUUUAUUGCUGUGAUCAAAGCUGAAUUUUCAGCAUCAUUACUCCAGUCUUCAGUGUCACAUGAUCUUCAGAAAAAAAAAUAUUUAUAUAUAUAAAAAAAAAAAAAAAAAAAUAAAAAAAAAAAAAAAAAAAAAAAUCUUCUGACA